rnacentral:misc_RNA from 1 species
AUUUGGAAUAUUCAGUUCAAAUACAGUACCUUUUCUUUAUCAUUUCUUUGUUUUUUCCCUCUCCAAUUAGUAUACACUUAAAGAAGAUAUUACUUGCAUUUCAAAUGCACAUACUUCCUCAUAAUUGUCUUUGAACAUUAAAAAGAAACUUCAAAGUGGCACUACAAUACAAACCAGUCAUUUUCUAGAAUUUCACAUUUAAAUAUAGUCUGGCCUUCCAUAUAAACAUCACCAGGUGUGAGCUCCCUUAGUUACGCCAAGAGUAACAGCAAUCAUGGCAAGGAUAGAAGCUAUUGCACAUGCAACAUAUCCAGGCUUUUCUCUGUAAUCCACUUGUACACAAAGUAGAACAAAAGUGCCAACAUACCAAGGAAUGCCACCUAAAAAGAAGCCAAUAAUAAACAAGAACCAUCCCAUGCCCAUACCACAGCAUGGAAGUCUAUGUUCUCUCGAGGGCAUUCCUUCAGCGAGCUCAUAACCUGUUGCACAGUUAUUAUGUCCAUGGGAAUAAUACCGAGGAAUAACGGUAUAGCCAUGAGGAGCAACCGGCUGAGGGAAACCGACGACUGGAUGAGGAGGUGGCGGCGGAGCAGGAGGGUAAUAGUUGGCGACGCCCUGAAAAGUCCCAUAAUAGUACCGGCUCUGCGGGUUGCCAGCGACAAAGCUGUCUUUCCCUUCUUCGGUCAUCGUUCC